rnacentral:rRNA from 1 species
UGCUAGUCGCACGGGCUUAGACCCGUGGCAUAUAGCUCAGUAACACGUGGCCAAACUACCCUACAGACCGCAAUAACCUCGGGAAACUGAGGCCAAUGGCGGAUAUAACUCUCAUGCUGGAGUGCCGAGAGUUAGAAAUGUUCCGGCGCUGUAGGAUGUGGCUGCGGCCGAUUAGGUAGAUGGUGGGGUAACGGCCCACCAUGCCGAUAAUCGGUACGGGUUGUGAGAGCAAGAACCCGGAGACGGUAUCUGAGACAAGAUACCGGGCCCUACGGGGCGCAGCAGGCGCGAAACCUUUACACUGCACGACAGUGCGAUAGGGGGACUCCGAGUGCGAGGGCAUAUAGCCCUCGCUUUUCUGUACCGUAAGGUGGUACAGGAACAAGGACUGGGCAAGACCGGUGCCAGCCGCCGCGGUAAUACCGGCAGUCCAAGUGAUGGCCGACAUUAUUGGGCCUAAAGCGUCCGUAGCCGGCCGGACAAGUCCGUUGGGAAAUCGACGCGCUCAACGCGUCGGCGUCCAGCGGAAACUGUCCGGCUUGGGGCCGGAAGACCUGAGGGGUACGUCCGGGGUAGGAGUGAAAUCCUGUAAUCCUGGACGGACCACCAAUGGGGAAACCACCUCAGGAAGACGGACCCGACGGUGAGGGACGAAAGCUAGGGUCUCGAACCGGAUUAGAUACCCGGGUAGUCCUAGCUGUAAACGAUGCUCGCUAGGUGUGCCGUAGG